rnacentral:rRNA from 1 species
UACGGAGGGGGCAAGCGUUAUUCGGAAUUAUUGGGCGUAAAGGGCGCGUAGGCGGCUAGAUGUGUCAAAGGUGAAAUCCCUCGGCUCAACUGAGGAACUGCCUUUGAAACUGUCUGGCUUGAGGCCGGGAGAGGGUAGCGGAAUUCCCAGUGUAGCGGUGAAAUGCGUAGAUAUCUGGAGGAACACCGGUGGCGAAGGCGGCAUCCUGGACCGACACUGACACUGAGGAGCGAAAGCCAGGGGAGCAAACGGG